UACAGAGGUCUCAAGCGUUGUUCGGAUUCAUUGGGCGUAAAGGGUGUGUAGGUGGCGCCGUAAGUCGGGUGUGAAAUUUCGGAGCUUAACUCCGAAACUGCAUUCGAUACUGCGGUGCUUGAGGACUGGAGAGGAGACUGGAAUUCAUGGUGUAGCAGUGAAAUGCGUAGAGAUCAUGAGGAAGACCAGGGGCGAAGGCGGGUCUCUGGACAGUUCCUGACGCUGAGGCACGAAGGCCAGGGGAGCAAACGGG
rnacentral:rRNA from 1 species